UGUCAGAACGACUCGAUCCAC
rnacentral:piRNA from 1 species